rnacentral:rRNA from 1 species
GGUAAGGCCCUUCGGGGUACACGAGCGGCGAACGGGUGAGUAACACGUGGGUAACCUGCCCCGUACUCUGGGAUAAGCCUGGGAAACUAGGUCUAAUACCGGAUAUGACUCCGCAUCGCAUGGUGUGGGGUGGAAAGUUCCGGCGGUACGGGAUGGGCCCGCGGCCUAUCAGCUUGUUGGUGGGGUGAUGGCCUACCAAGGCGACGACGGGUAGCCGGCCUGAGAGGGUGACCGGCCACACUGGGACUGAGACACGGCCCAGACUCCUACGGGAGGCAGCAGUGGGGAAUAUUGCACAAUGGGCGAAAGCCUGAUGCAGCGACGCCGCGUGAGGGAUGACGGCCUUCGGGUUGUAAACCUCUUUCAGCAGGGACGAAGCGCGAGUGACGGUACCUGCAGAAGAAGCACCGGCUAACUACGUGCCAGCAGCCGCGGUAAUACGUAGGGUGCGAGCGUUGUCCGGAAUUAUUGGGCGUAAAGAGCUCGUAGGCGGUUUGUUGCGUCGGCCGUGAAAACUUCACGCUUAACGUGGAGCCUGCGGUCGAUACGGGCAGACUUGAGUUCGGCAGGGGAGACUGGAAUUCCUGGUGUAGCGGUGAAAUGCGCAGAUAUCAGGAGGAACACCGGUGGCGAAGGCGGGUCUCUGGGCCGAUACUGACGCUGAGGAGCGAAAGCGUGGGGAGCGAACAGGAUUAGAUACCCUGGUAGUCCACGCCGUAAACGGUGGGUGCUAGGUGUGGGGGGCUUCCACGUCCUCCGUGCCGCAGCUAACGCAUU